rnacentral:rRNA from 1 species
GAUGAACGCUGGCGGCGUGCCUAAUACAUGCAAGUCGAGCGAACAGACGAGGAGCUUGCUCCUCUGACGUUAGCGGCGGACGGGUGAGUAACACGUGGAUAACCUACCUAUAAGACUGGGAUAACUUCGGGAAACCGGAGCUAAUACCGGGUAAUAUAUUGAACCGCAUGGUUCAAUAGUCAAAGACGGUUUUGCUGUCACUUAUAGAUGGAUCCGCGCCGCAUUAGCUAGUUGGUAAGGUAACGGCUUACCAAGGCAACGAUGCGUAGCCGACCUGAGAGGGUGAUCGGCCACACUGGAACUGAGACACGGUCCAGACUACUACGGGAGGCAGCAGCAGGGAAUCUUCCGCAAUGGGCGAAAGCCUGACGGAGCAACGCCGCGUGAGUGAUGAAGGUCUUCGGAUCGUAAAACUCUGUUAUUAGGGAAGAACAAAUGUGUAAGUAACUAUGCACGUCUUGACGGUACCUAAUCAGAAAGCCACGGCUAACUACGUG